UUAAGCGACUAAGCGUACACGGUGGAUGCCCUGGCAGUCAGAGGCGAUGAAGGACGUGCUAAUCUGCGAUAAGCGUCGGUAAGGUGAUAUGAACCGUUAUAACCGGCGAUUUCCGAAUGGGGAAACCCAGUGUGUUUCGACACACUAUCAUUAACUGAAUCCAUAGGUUAAUGAGGCGAACCGGGGGAACUGAAACAUCUAAGUACCCCGAGGAAAAGAAAUCAACCGAGAUUCCCCCAGUAGCGGCGAGCGAACGGGGAGCAGCCCAGAGCCUGAAUCAGUGUGUGUGUUAGUGGAAGCGUCUGGAAAGGCGCGCGAUACAGGGUGACAGCCCCGUACACAAAAAUGCACAUGCUGUGAGCUCGAUGAGUAGGGCGGGACACGUGGUAUCCUGUCUGAAUAUGGGGGGACCAUCCUCCAAGGCUAAAUACUCCUGACUGACCGAUAGUGAACCAGUACCGUGAGGGAAAGGCGAAAAGAACCCCGGCGAGGGGAGUGAAAAAGAACCUGAAACCGUGUACGUACAAGCAGUGGGAGCACGCUUAGGCGUGUGACUGCGUACCUUUUGUAUAAUGGGUCAGCGACUUAUAUUCUGUAGCAAGGUUAACCGAAUAGGGGAGCCGAAGGGAAACCGAGUCUUAACUGGGCGUUAAGUUGCAGGGUAUAGACCCGAAACCCGGUGAUCUAGCCAUGGGCAGGUUGAAGGUUGGGUAACACUAACUGGAGGACCGAACCGACUAAUGUUGAAAAAUUAGCGGAUGACUUGUGGCUGGGGGUGAAAGGCCAAUCAAACCGGGAGAUAGCUGGUUCUCCCCGAAAGCUAUUUAGGUAGCGCCUCGUGAAUUCAUCUCCGGGGGUAGAGCACUGUUUCGGCAAGGGGGUCAUCCCGACUUACCAACCCGAUGCAAACUGCGAAUACCGGAGAAUGUUAUCACGGGAGACACACGGCGGGUGCUAACGUCCGUCGUGAAGAGGGAAACAACCCAGACCGCCAGCUAAGGUCCCAAAGUCAUGGUUAAGUGGGAAACGAUGUGGGAAGGCCCAGACAGCCAGGAUGUUGGCUUAGAAGCAGCCAUCAUUUAAAGAAAGCGUAAUAGCUCACUGGUCGAGUCGGCCUGCGCGGAAGAUGUAACGGGGCUAAACCAUGCACCGAAGCUGCGGCAGCGACACUAUGUGUUGUUGGGUAGGGGAGCGUUCUGUAAGCCUGCGAAGGUGUGCUGUGAGGCAUGCUGGAGGUAUCAGAAGUGCGAAUGCUGACAUAAGUAACGAUAAAGCGGGUGAAAAGCCCGCUCGCCGGAAGACCAAGGGUUCCUGUCCAACGUUAAUCGGGGCAGGGUGAGUCGACCCCUAAGGCGAGGCCGAAAGGCGUAGUCGAUGGGAAACAGGUUAAUAUUCCUGUACUUGGUGUUACUGCGAAGGGGGGACGGAGAAGGCUAUGUUGGCCGGGCGACGGUUGUCCCGGUUUAAGCGUGUAGGCUGGUUUUCCAGGCAAAUCCGGAAAACUAAGGCUGAGGCGUGAUGACGAGGCACUACGGUGCUGAAGCAACAAAUGCCCUGCUUCCAGGAAAAGCCUCUAAGCAUCAGGUAACAUCAAAUCGUACCCCAAACCGACACAGGUGGUCAGGUAGAGAAUACCAAGGCGCUUGAGAGAACUCGGGUGAAGGAACUAGGCAAAAUGGUGCCGUAACUUCGGGAGAAGGCACGCUGAUAUGUAGGUGAAGUCCCUCGCGGAUGGAGCUGAAAUCAGUCGAAGAUACCAGCUGGCUGCAACUGUUUAUUAAAAACACAGCACUGUGCAAACACGAAAGUGGACGUAUACGGUGUGACGCCUGCCCGGUGCCGGAAGGUUAAUUGAUGGGGUUAGCGCAAGCGAAGCUCUUGAUCGAAGCCCCGGUAAACGGCGGCCGUAACUAUAACGGUCCUAAGGUAGCGAAAUUCCUUGUCGGGUAAGUUCCGACCUGCACGAAUGGCGUAAUGAUGGCCAGGCUGUCUCCACCCGAGACUCAGUGAAAUUGAACUCGCUGUGAAGAUGCAGUGUACCCGCGGCAAGACGGAAAGACCCCGUGAACCUUUACUAUAGCUUGACACUGAACAUUGAGCCUUGAUGUGUAG
rnacentral:rRNA from 1 species